rnacentral:tRNA from 1 species
UAUUUUCUAGUUUAUCUUUUAAAACAUUUACUUUUCAAGUAGAAGAAACUUUUGUGAAUAUAU